CUGUGAAGUGUCCUGGGUGUGGCAGAAAGAAGAAUGCCAUUAACUCAUAAGGUACUCACUGAUCCUUGCUCUUCAAUCUAG
rnacentral:lncRNA from 13 species